UACAGAGGUCCCAAGCGUUGUUCGGAUUCACUGGGCGUAAAGGGUGCGUAGGCGGUCGGGUAAGUCUGAUGUGAAAUCUCACAGCUUAACUGUGAAACUGCAUUGGAUACUAUCCGGCUCGAGGAAUGGAGGGGAGACUGGACUACUUGGUGUAGCAGUGAAAUGCGUAGAUAUCAAGUGGAACACCAGUGGCGAAGGCGAGUCUCUGGACAUUUCCUGACGCUGAGGCACGAAAGCCAGGGGAGCAAACGGG
rnacentral:rRNA from 1 species